GGGUCCGUAGCGCAGUCCGGCUAGCGCAUCUGGCUUUUAACCAGAGGGUCGGGGGUUCAAAUCCCUCCGGAUCCG
rnacentral:tRNA from 1 species